rnacentral:tRNA from 1 species
AAGGUUUUAAGUUAUUAAAACUAAUAGCCUUCAAAGUUAUAAAAAAAAGUAAUUAACCUUUUAAGCCUUA